GAGACACCCUUAUGGGGCAGGACUUGCUUCAGUGGGGCUUUGGUGCUCACUGAGUAUGCCUUUGAGUAUGUUGCU
rnacentral:pre_miRNA from 1 species